CUACAUUGGAACAAGAUACGAGGUGUAUAGGUAAACACUGAAGGUGUAGCUUUUAAAGCCCAAUAAUCUAAAUAGCAGCAUUUUUCAUGUCAAUGGGCCCAAGCCCAGUUAUUGUAAAUCAGAAAAUGGACAACACGUAUAUGCAACGAAGGUGAUCAAGCGAUAGAACUGUGAGAUCUCUCUCUGCUUCAGUGUCCAGAGGAAUUCGUUUUCUCUGAUCGGAAUCUAGAAUUAACGAAUCGGCAUGGGUUUCUUGAUAACAUCACUAAUCUUCCUUGUGGUUGGGAUCAUCGCGUGCCUCUGCACCAGAAUUUGCUGCAACAGAGGACCUUCUACCAAUCUAUUUCACCUUACUCUGGUUAUUACUGCAACAAUAUGCUGCUGGAUGAUGUGGGCGAUUGUAUAUCUGGCACAAAUGAAACCGCUCAUAGUACCUAUACUAAGUGAAGGCGAAUAAGUGUGUGUGAACAGAUGUAGCUUCUUGUAUGUUAGAGAACAUGGAUCAAAGAUUGGUUGCUGGAGAGAAUUUGAUAUCAGCUCUCACGAAUCGUUCAUUAUUUUCUAAGGGUGGAUAUGUAUGUAUUUCUUGCUGGAUAAUGGCAUUUCUGUUGUUGCUUUAUGUUGCCGUGUUAUAGUUCUAUUCAACCCUCAUUCAUUUCAGAUGUCGGUUCAAUUUCGAAUCAUUAGUGAAAAAUAAAUAAAAUUUACAAAUUAGUCUUAAAUAAGUUAGAAAGUAACAUUAUUUUAAUGAAAUACUAUUGAUGUCCUUUGAUAACAA